rnacentral:lncRNA from 1 species
GGAUAUACAUGAGAAUUUUCCGAAUAUGAAACGAGAGCUUUGUCGGUUAAUGGAUAAACCCACGUGCGCUCAGGUUCAUAGAACCAUAGGUAAAGCCGACGGUGCGACCGCUUUUCAGUCAAAUUAGGUCUAAAGCGGGCGUGAACGGUCCAAAAGUUCCCUAAAAAAAAAAAAAAAAACAUGACUCGACCAUGCAAUUGGCAAAUAGCAACGCACCAGCGACGGUCCAUGGCUCAGUAAUUGUCCAUUUCCAUAUCUUCGGGCUGCAGCCUUUUGGUGCAAUGUUUUGGGAUUUGCUUUGCUUUGCUUCUACAGAUUUAAUCUAACCUUUUUAUUUGCCUUUCUGGAGCCUGACCCAC